CCCAGAUCUCAUUUAAAGGUUAGCAGUGGAGGUAAGGGUGCCCUGUUGAAGAUUUCUGUAUACCUGAAGUUGUAUGAAGUGCUCUCCAUUGCGUUACACAAGGAUAUUGCAGGGAGCAAAGCUGGCUGCCCAGAGCCCCUGAAGAUAGUUACCACCAUCUCAGCACUGCUCAGCCUCCUCAGACAGAGAGCCAGAUGUGUUCUUUGCUGCCAGCUAGAGAAAACAGCACACAUGGACUGCAGUUGGUGACCUGAGGCAGGGCUCCAGUGCCUGGCUGCCCUAAUACAAAGCUCUCUGCUGGCACUGCACUCUCUGGGAAGGACCGAAGAUGCUCUCCCACCAAGGAGCAGAGCUGUGUGGUGCCUGGUGCCAUGGAUCUGCCCUCGUGCUGUGCUGCUGCACAGGCACUCACACAGGAGGGCCCUGCAGAACACCCUGUGUGCACGUGUGUGUGCUGGGGGUCUGUGGAAAAAGGAUGAGAUUUGAUACCAAUUCCCUUAAUUUAUUCACACCAAAUGUCAGUGCGGUGUCGUAUAAAAAUCUUUAAUGAUUUUAAACAAAUGGUCCUUGAGGCAGGAAAAUAGUUAUAGUGCCGUUUCUAAAAUUAAUUUAAUGCCUUUGGAAUAGAAAUAAAAAUGAGCGCCUGCUCAGCUGCGCGUGCACUUCAAAGAGCAUCUGUCUGUACCUGAGGACCCUCCAGCUGCACUGGGCUUCCUGGCUACACGGCCCGUAUCUGUGGGGCUGUAUUGCAGCUUGUGUCCCCAUUGCCUUGGGGUUGCUUUACACAGAAGCAGAACCUAUUUUUAUGAUAUUUCCAAAUGACUCAUAACAGUGCAUCUUCUCACCAUGAAGCCCAGGCCAGCACUGUGCUGAUGCUCCAGGCCUGGGGUCCUCCAUGCAGGCUGCUGGGAUGGCGGUGCGUGGUGCUGCUGUGCCCCGGCACGCUGCUGGCAGUGGCUCCAGCCCUGUGGUCACAGCAACACUUGAGCACGUGUGUCUCAAAAGGAGCUCAGCCUGAGAAAUCGGGAACAAAGUUCGGGAGCAGCCAUGCACACCUGGGGCACAACCAGCUCUUCUGCUCUGCCUGCCCAGGGGGGACCUGUGAAACUGGCCAUAAGCACAGCACAACACCUAACGUUUGGGUAAGAUUGCUCCAAGCCCAUCCACAAACCAAGCACUUCUUUAAAGCCUAUAUGAUGAUAUUGAUUUAACACCUGCAGUUUCAGAUGUUGGUGCACCUCUCCCAGCCAGGCUGUGCUGCAGGCCUCCCAAAUGCCCGCCCAAGGUGAGUUUGCAGCCACCACCAUCCAUGCUCCUCUCUGUGCCAGCAACCCAGCCUCCGAGG